UACGUAGGGACCAAGCGUUGUUCGGAUUUACUGGGCGUAAAGCGCGCGCAGGCGGCUCUUUAAGUAUGGCGUGAAAUCUCCCUGCUCAACGGGGGAGGGUGCGUUGUAGACUGAGGAGCUUGAGGUCGGUAGAGGGGGGUGGAAUUGGCUGGUGUAGCGGUGAAUGCGUAGAGAUCAGCAGGAACACCCGUGGCGAAGGCGGCCCCUGGGCCGUACCUGACGCUGAGGCGCGAAG
rnacentral:rRNA from 1 species